GAGUUUGAUCCUGGCUCAGAUUGAACGCUGGCGGCGUGCUUAACACAUGCAAGUCGAACGUGAUUGAGAGCUUGCUCUCAUGAAAGUGGCGCACGGGUGAGUAACACGUGGAUAAUCUGCCUGGCGAUUCGGGAUAACACUUCGAAAGGGGUGCUAAUACCGGAUAAGCCCACGGACUCUUAGGGGUUUGCGGGAAAAGGGGGCCUCUGUAUAUGCUCCUGUCGCUAGAUGAGUCCGCGUACCAUUAGCUAGUUGGUGGGGUAAUGGCCCACCAAGGCUACGAUGGUUAGCUGGUCUGAGAGGAUGAUCAGCCACACUGGAACUGAGACACGGUCCAGACUCCUACGGGAGGCAGCAGUGGGGAAUUUUGCGCAAUGGGGGAAACCCUGACGCAGCAACGCCGCGUGAGUGUUGAAGGCUUUCGGGUCGUAAAGCUCUGUCAGAGGGGAAGAAAUGAGACUGGCUAAUAUCCAGUUUUCUUGACGGUACCCUCAAAGGAAGCACCGGCUAACUCCGUGCCAGCAGCCGCGGUAAUAC
rnacentral:rRNA from 1 species